UACAGUGGUGCCUCGCAAGACGAAAUUAAUUCGUUCCGCGAGUUUUUUCGUCUAGCGAAUUUUUCGUCUUGCGAAGCACGGUUUCCCAUAGGAAUGCAUUGAAAUUCAAUUAAUGCGUUCCUAUGGUCAAAAAAAGUCCAAUCAAAGCCAAAUUUGGUACAACAAGAGUUUAUUAACUGCUCUUUAAAGUCACACAUACUUUAAAGAGCAUAUCAAAAAUUGAAGGAACAAUAAAUUAAGUUUCUAAACAUGACAGGAAAAACAUUUAAAAAUCAAAAAAGGGUACAUUACAUUUUCUAAGACUCUGGGGACCACUCGAAGAAGGUUCCUCUUCCACUCUUUGCUUCUUGCUGAGGAACCUGUCCAUGGUCUGCUGCUUCAUCCGCCUUUUCAGCAGCUCCCUGAGAGGCAACAUGACCGUCGUAUCAAAAGUGUUCGCUUGGUCAUGUGCCACGUGCUUGUCAGGGUGGUGCCGCUCUGCAAAGCCUGCACCUCCUUCCACUUCUGGCAAAUGUCCCUCAGUUCUUUGGAGGACGGCCGUUCCUCAGUUGCUUCCUCCUCUUCCAGCGAGGCCUGCUCCUGCGCAACCUCUGACUGCAGUUCAACCAGCUCCUGGGUGGUCAGCUCGUGGUCGUGCUCCUCCACCAGCUCGCAGACGUCCUCCUCUGUGACCUCCAGGCCCAUGGUCCUCCCCAAGGCAACAAUGUCCUGCACCACUGUCGACUCUGGUGCAUCAGAGUCACUUGGUGCCACACAGUCCGGCCACAGGCUGCGCCAAGCGCAAUUCAAAUUUCUCUGGCUGAUCCCGUUCCAGGCCGUGGUGAUCAUCUUCAAGCAGGUGACGAUGUCGAAGUGGUCCUUCCAGAAUUCCCGCAGGGUGAUGGUGGUGCAAUCAGUCACCUCGAAGCAUCGCCUGAAAAGCUCCUUGGUGUAGAGUUUCUUGAAAUUGGCGAUGACCUGCUGAUCCAUCGGCUGGAGCAGUGGCGUGGUGUUAGGCGGCAGGAACAUGAUGUUGAUGAAGCUGAACUCCUCCAACAAGUCCACCUCAAGGCCUUUAGGAUGAGCAGGAGCAUUGUCCAUCAGAAGCAAAGCCUUCAGCGGCAGGUCGUUGUCCAGCAGGUACUGUUUGACAGCAGGGCCAAAGGCAAGAUUGACCCAGUCCACAAACAGCACACGUGUGACCCAAGCCUUGCUGUUGGAUCGCCACAUGACACUCAGCCGCUCCUUGUCGACCUUGUGUUUCUUGAAGGCCCGUGGGUUCUCCGAGUGGUACACCAGCAGGGGCUUGAUCUUCAGGUCGCCGCUUGCGUUGGCACAGAAGAGCAGGGUCAGACGGUCCUUCAUGGGCUUGUGGCCAGGCAACUUGGCCUCCUCCUGUGUGAGGAAAGUCCUUUUGGGCAUCCUCUUCCAAAACAGCCCGGUCUCGUCGCAGUUGAAGACCUGCUGUGGAACGUAGCCCUCCGUCUUCACAACCUCCAGGAACUCCAAGGCAAAGUCUUCAGCCGCAGGAACAUCAGAACUGGCAGCCUCUCCAUGCCUGACCACGCUGUGGAUUCCGGAUCUUGCCUUGAACCGGUCAAACCAGCCUCUGCUUGCCUUGAAGACUUCUGGCUCGGCCGAGGUUCCUGGCUGUUCCCGGAUGAGGUCUGCGUGCAAGGCCUUGGCCUUCUCACAAAUGACGGCCUCAGUCACUGUGUCCCCUGCACGCUGCUUCUCUUCUAACCAGAUGAGCAGCAACUUCUCGACCUCCUCCAGAACAGCUGGGCGGUUCUUCACGAUCCUGGUGACUCCCUUGGCUGCAUCAGUCGCAAGGAUCUUCUCCCUCAUCUUCAGGAUGGUCCCGAUGGUCGAUGGGUUCCUGCCGUACUCCCUGGCGAGGUCCGUCACACGCAUUCCACCGUCGUGCUUCCGGAUGAUCUCCUUCUUCAUCUCCAGCGUCACCUUCUCCUUCUUCCUCUCGCCGGCCUCCGCAGCAGCAGCAGUCUUCUUGGGUCCCAUGGCAGCACAGCUGUUACCUUUGUAAACUC